rnacentral:tRNA from 1 species
UGGGGCAUAGCCAAGUUUGGUAAGGCACAGGAUUCUGGCUCCUGGAUGCGUUGGUUCGAAUCCAACUGCCCUAACCA